rnacentral:sRNA from 1 species
GUGCGGGUUCAGGCCCUCACACUCCUCACACACCUUCGCCCGACGCGUUCGGGCUUU